AUUGAGGUCAGAAAGCCUCGAGCUUGUGCAACCCAGCUCUCUUACAAUCUAACACAGGCCUGGAUAGAAGGUGUGUAAUGUCCAAGCUUUCCAUCAGGUGGUUCCCCACUUCUUGAUGCCACGGUCCAAAAAUCAGGCAAGUCCACUCCAUAUGCUUAUUCAAAGUGGAAGUAACUAUAUAGAGUGUAGGCUCAGGGGUCCACAAUGCUUACAUGGAUGCAUGAUCAAAGCUACUCAUCAGUUUUAUCCUUGAAGAAAGAAGGGGAGAAAAAUCUAUCCACAUAUUUAUAAAAAAAAUUCCAUAGCUGUUCUCCUCCAUCUGCUAGUUACAGGGGGGCUUUGCUGCUUCAUAUGGGGAUGGAUAUGGACUUCAUUCGGGUGGUGCUGACAAAGGUCCUCUAUAUGGCAUGAGUUCUCUUGUUCUUGGGGUGCAUUUGAGAAGUCUCACCUCGGGCGUCGCUGAAGUCCGUUGAUUUUUUUUUCCUUUUGCUUUUCCUUGUGUCUCAAUCUGUAAAUUUUCUGUGCAUUAUGUAAGCUUUCAUUCUCAG